CCUGGGCGGCGUCUUACCAUGCAGUCGACGAGAGGAAUGUAGCAAUACAUUUAGUAAAGUGGCGCACGGGUCCGUAACACGUGGGCAAUCUACCUCUGGGCGAGGGACAACCUGUCGAAAGACGGGCUAAUACCUCAUAAGACCACGGGAACUUCGGUUCCUGAGGUCAAAGGUGGCCUCUAUUUAUAAGCUAUCACCUGGAGAUGAGCCCGCGCACCAUCAGCUUGUUGGUGAGGUAAUGGCUCACCAAGGCCGAGACGGUUAGCUGGUCUGAGAGGACGACCAGCGACACUGGAACUGAGACACGGUCCAGACUCCUACGGGAGGCAGCAGUGGGGAAUUUUGGACAAUGGGCGAAAGCCUGAUCCAGCAACGCCGCGUGAGUGAUGAAGGCCUUCGGGUUGUAAAGCUCUGUCGGAGGGAACGAAUAAGGGACACCUAAUACGUGUCCCGAUGACGGUACUCUCAAAGGAAGCACCGGCUAACUCUGUGCCAGCAGCCGCGGUAAGACAGAGGGUGCAAGCGUUGUUCGGAAUUACUGGGCGUAAAGGGCGUGUAGGCGGCAAGGUAUGUCCGUUGUGAAAUCCCUCGGCUUAACUGGGGAAGUGCAUCGGAAACUACUUAGCUAGAGUAUAGGAGAGGAUGGCGGAAUUCCCAGAGUAGAGGUGAAAUUCGUAGAUACUGGGAGGAACACCUGAGGCGAAGGCGGCCAUCUGGCCUAUUACUGACGCUGAUACGCAAAAGCGUGGGGAGCAAACAGGAUUAGAUACCCUGGUAGUCCACGCCGUAAACGAUGUUCACUAGGUGUCGGAAGAUUUGACCCUUUCGGUACCGCAGCUAACGCAUUAAGUGAACCGCCUGGGGAGUACGGUCGCAAGACUAAAACUCAAAGGAAUUGACG
rnacentral:rRNA from 1 species